UCUUUUUGGGAUCCGACGGCUGUGAUGGAUUGAAGAAGCAUCAUGGAUUUAGAUAAGAUUUUCACUUGGACUUGAAAGGGAUGGCUCUGAUUACAACUUGGUGGUACAGAGCUGCAAGAGCAGCGCCGAUGAAAGGUCCCACCCAGAAUAUCCACUGUAAUUUAACCAUAAUCAUGUGUUAACAUUUAACAUUUUAACAAUUAAGAUUAUUAAAAGAUUAUGAGAUUAACAAACUCACGUGAUCAUCCCAUGCUUCGUCGUGGUUGUAAAUAAUGGCCGCUCCCAAGCUCCUCGCUGGGUUGAUGCCGGUGCCCGUGAUCGGAAUGGUGGCUAAGUGAACUAAGAACACUGCAAAUCCGAUGGGUAAUGGUGCCAAUAUCUGUUCCAUAAAUUAACAAUUUUUCUUUUAGACUAACUUCUAGAAUUUCUUUACGCUUUUCACCUAAAAGUAACUUUCAAAAAGACAGACUCCCUGUUUUUUCAACUCACCGGAACAUGUGAAUCUCUGGCGCUACGUUUAGCAUCAGUGGCGGAGAAGACGGUGUAAACAAGGAUGAAAGUACCCACGAUCUCAGCGCCAAGGCCAUCCCCUUUGGUGUAUCCCUUGGCCACCAUGUUAGCUCCGCCGCCAAGGGCGUCGUAGGGCUUGGGUUGGAACCCUUUCACCACGCCGGCACCGCAGAUGGCACCAAGGCACUGCAUCACUAUGUAGAAAACGGCCCUAGUCAAGGACAGCUUCCUCGCCAGAAACAGCCCGAAAGUCACCGCCGGGUUAAUGUGGCCACCGGAAAUUCCAGCAGUACAGUAAACCAAAGCAAAAAUCAUACCGCCGAAAGCCCAAGCAAUCCCCUGAAUUCCGACGGUCUUACACGUGUUCCCCUCAAUACUCUUGGACCGGACGACACCCAUGACGGUCAAAACGGUGAUGUAGAGGAAGAGGAAAGUAGCGAAAAACUCGGCAAUUCCAGCUCUGUAAAAGGACCACGAAGUGAGCUCCUCCGGCUCAAACAAAGGCGCCGGUGGUGGCUCCUUGUAGUCCUUAGCGUCAUCUUGACUCUGUGCCGCCGUUCCAAUGGGCUGUCUCUCGUUGAACUUGUUAGCUCCAAGUCUAACAUCUUCCUCCUUCCCUUCCAUUCCGGAAAAACGUGUGUGUUUGUGAGAGCAGUUGAGAGCGGAAGAGGGCGGUUGUGUAUGUAGUAGAGUAGUAGUGAGGAAAGUGAAGAGAAGGAGUAGGUUAUAUAGCAAUGUAGAGUGAAUUUAGUGAAAAACCAAAGGGACCCAGGCAGUUAAAAAGAAAGAAAAAUAAAAAUAGAGAAAACCGACCAAUGAUUUUUGUAGAAUUUUCUGGAGAAUAGGUGGAAAAUGACAGAAGGGGCGGUCGGGUUGGCGUACAAUUAUUGGGGCACGUGGCGAAAGAUUAGCCACAAAGGAGAGGUAGAGAGUGGAGAAUGGGAGUCAGGCGCCCACCGUCCAUGUGGACCAGAUGGUGAAGUGAUUGUGAUAAGUUCAGGAUUUGUAUUUUAAUUUUUAAGGGGUAAUAGAGGAAAUGGAGGGGUUGGACAUCCACGUGGAGGUUACGUGAUUGGUUUGCCUGGAUAUGUUUGUGGACAAAACAAUGUCGCAGCGCUGUACAAAUAUCAUCUUUACUUCCUCCUUCCAUUAUCAAUAUAUAUAACUAUCUAUUUUUCCACCUUUUUCUUUCUUUCUACUCUUUAAUUCCUAUUUUCAUCUUUAUUUCACUCUUUACUUUUAUUUACAAAUAUUUCCAAAUUAUAACAUUAUUCCAUUUUACUACAAAUUUCUCUAUUUCAUCUUUCUUUUAAACAUAGCAUCCUUCCACCUAAUCAAAUGAAAUAUGUGCACUUUAACUUUUCUUUUUUUUUUCUUCCUCUUUAAAUUCAUCUCCAUCUCUACUACAUUCAUCCCUCUUAUCUAUCUAUAUAUUCAUAAACAACAAGUUAAGUUAUUAUUUGAGUUUGGCUUUUCAAGUUUUUCCUUCAAAAUUAUCCCACCAACUUUCAAAUAUAACCUCAUGUACACAAAAUUGUAUAUGGCAAGAUGGAAUAAUAAAAAUGACCACGUUUUCUUAUAAGAUAUCCAUAUAUCUUAUCAAUCACUCUAUUACAAAAAAAAAAAGUCCAAUAGAGAGUUGAGAGAAAUUAGAUAUAUGAUGAGAACAUAAUUAAGCACUACAAAUAAAGGUAUAGUAAACUCUUACAUCAUGACAUAAACUUAACCUAAAAUACUAGAUUUAAUAUAUAUUAGAUACUCUAACAUGAGGAUAUUAAUAAAUCCAUCAACUCCUUUACUUCACACUAUGGAUAAAGUUUAAUUCCUGUCAUUUUAAAUGUAUUCUUAAAUAUGAAGAUGACUUUGCACAAACUUACACAAAAUUAAAAGCAACGAAAAUGACUCAUACAUAGGUUAGUUUCUGUACCAUCUUAAUUUCUCUGAGGAAAAAGAAAAAAAUUUAAUUAUUUUUCUCAAUCUGUUUUUUUUUUUUUAAAAAAAAAAGAAAUUGAAGAUGAAAAAUUGCUUCCUUUGUAAUAAUAUAUAUUUUGUUUUAUAAUUCUCUAGCUUUUAUGUACUAACACUAUUUUUCGAAAUAUUUUUUCAUCCACUUGUUUUUUUCUUGCCAAUUGUUUAAAUUUAUAUCAUUGUUAUUGUUUAUAAAAAUAGUGUUUGUGAAAAGGGAGUUUUAGAAGUCACAUCCAAAUAAUACAUGCCUCUACUACAGCAUAACUCAUAUUUCAUAAGACAAUAUUAUUUUAUAAUAAUUAAUUAUGACCUUUUUUAUUUUUGGGUAAUGAAUACAGCAGAGCACAGAUAUUUUAAACAUACAAUUAUGUACAAAUAUGAAUACCAAAUUCUAUUGACUUUUAUAAUCUCUAUUGGGAGGUUACUUAAUAAUGUUAGUUAUUAAUAAAUUUAGGAUUUAUGAUCAUAAUCGUAAAUCCUAAAUCUAAGUCUAGUCUAAGUUCAAUCAAGUUAUCUUUGGGUUUUAAAUUGGCCUACCUACCCUAGUUUUCAAUUACCAAAAAAGGAAUAAUAAUUGUGUCAAAUUCACUAACAAAAUCUUGCAAUAUCAAGGGCUACAUUUACUUUGAUGUAUAGCACAUACUUUGACGACGAUAGUCUCUAUAAAUAUAGUUUCAUUUAUCCAUCACGUUGUUGUCUAGUAAUAAUAUUCUAAGUGCACUUUACUAUAAGAAUUUUCUCUUUUACCCACGAAAAUAAACGUUGGCUAAAGUCGUAAUAAUGUCAAAAUAAGUUAUGCCAACAAAAAUUCUUAUGUCCGUAAAAUCGUCAUUGUAUCCAUGUUGGGAGAAGUAAUUAUUGACCAUAAAUUCCUUUUUACAACGCACUAUCUUGCAUAUGUCGGCAUAUAAGUUUUUCAAACAAAAUAUAUAUUUUUUCCUUUAGAAUAACUGUACUUCCAAUCGAGGUAUCAAUGUUUUUUCGUCUGCAUAAGUUGUUUGCAAUUUUAUAUAUAAAUUGUACUAUACUAACUAAUCAAAUUUUUAAUAAUACCUAAUGAUGCACAAAGAAUAAUUAAUCAACCAUCAAAACAAUUGAAGAACAAAUAUAACAAAAAUAAGCUAUUGUAUGUUAAAAAUAAAAUUAAUAUUUAAUAUUUGUUAAGUCACACAGUUACGUUAUUCGAGGAUGGCUAAGUUUUCACAAAUAUUCUAUACCAAAAAAAAAAAGUUUAUCAUUAUUCCUUAAGCCAAAAUAAGUGAGAGGCUACACCAAACUAAAUGAUCAUAUCAAAACCUUUUUACAAUCUCAUUUCUAACCUUUCACAAAUCCGAUCCUAGGCAAGAAAAGAAAAAUAAAAAAAAUUGUCAUUUCUCGAACCAAAAUGUUACACCACCAAAAUAAGUAAUCAACUCAAAAUCUUGAUGCAAUCUCCAAAAAAACGAUAUUCAAGAAUUCAAAUGUAUAAUUUAAAAUAGGAAAUACAAUAAGAAAUGACAAAGUGACAAAGUGACAACAAGUGGCAAAGUGACGAACACACAAUUUAAAACUACAAAGUAAUUAGCAAAAAAAUUAUAUAAAGUGACAAAGUAAAAUCCCCCUCUUAAAUCCCAAUUUAAUUGUUUCAUGAGUAAACCACAUCUUCAAUGAUCCUAAAAGCAUAAAACACAACUAUCAAACCCCUAUAAAUACACGAGAACGAAAUUCUCAAAGUAUGGAAGUGAAAUUUCAAAAACCCUCAACAAAACCUAACAAGUUCUCUCUCUCUCUCUUUUUUUUAAUAGUAUUAUGUUUUUGAAUUGUUGAAAGAGAAUUACUUGAAUUGUGGUUAAUUUAGAAACGAUGGUUAGGCCGAUCAUAAUUAACUUUUGUUAUCAACCACACAUGACCUUUAAUAUUUUAAUUAAUGUUAAAAAGAGUAUUUAUUAUGAUGUAAAUUAGUGAGGUAAACGACAAAUAUAUUGGUUGGGUUGGGUUGCAGCCGCCAGCUGAUUUGUGCCCAUCUAAUAUCUAUUAUUCGAUUUUACUUAAUAUAUAACUCUCACAGCUUUCUCUCUCUUUAUAUAUAUGUAUAUGAACAGCACAUUUUGUUUGUUAUUAGGUUAACAUUAGGGUUUUGAAGUUCUUACAUAUAACAUUAAUUUCUUUGCACCCCAGUAGUCAAUAUGUUUUUGGAACUUCAAAAACUGUGAAAUAAACUUUUUUUUUCAUAUAAAUUGAAAGAUAUUAAUCAAACAUUAGUUUAUGAUCAUAUAUAUACCACUUUGUGUACAGCUUGUUUUGAUUGGGCAAAUAUUACAAAUUCGUAUUUUGGUCAAUACAAAGAGGAAAGAAAAGAGUAAUGAAUGCAAUCAUAUUUGAGCCAAAAAUGAUUCAUUCAUUCAUUAUCUAACAAACAAACUCACAUCGAUUCAUGUGUUGGAGGUUUUGAAAUAAACAUUAAAUAUACAAUUGGUCCCCCAUAGGCCAUACCAAAACAAAAAUCAACAAAUAUCAUACAUAAUACAAAGUAUAUAGUCAUUCUCAAUUUAAAUCUUUUAAUCUUCCAUUUCAAUUCUAACUAUGAAACAAACCCUCUUUCUACUUGGUAAAAUAUAGAAAAGAAAGAGAGGUAGAGGUAAAGUACAAUAAUCUCGAUACACUUAAAAAAAAUUUGCUUGUAUUGAUUUUUGAAUUGUUUAAUUUUUAAAACAAUUCAUUUUAAGAUAAACUAACUUUUAGAAAAUUGAGAUUCCGAAAUAAAUCAUUUUAAAGAAUACACGUGUAACCAAAUUUUAGAAUAAAUGUUUAUUUGAUAUUGAACCAGAAUUUUUCCAAAAUAUAUUUUUUUUUCCUCUAUUUUUUUACUUGGUCGUUUUUUUUUUGUUUUUUAAUUAUUUUUAAAUACUUUAAAUAUUUUUUCAAUGUGUGUUCAUAUGCAUUUAAAUAUAUGAAUUUGCAAAUAUUCCUCUUUCAGCUAAAUCUACUUCGUCUUGAUAUGUUUGAAAAAAAUUAUAAGAACGUCAAUAUAUGAAAAACAUGAUCGUUCGAUUCGUGAAAUGAAAAUGAAUGAAGAAUGUGAUCAAAUUGCACGUCUUUUUGUCUAGUUGAUAUUAUAUUGUCUCGAAAAAAUUAUUGAUCUUAAUUAUAUUUUGUUGAUGGAAAUCGAUAAUUGUUUUAUGGUUAUCGUGUAUUUACAUUUCAAGAUAUUUGUGUUUCUAAAAUUGAAUUGUCCAAAAAUAUUAAUACAAAAAAUAUAAUAAUGUUUUUUUAAGUAACUAAAAAUAAUUUCAAGAUAACGUGCUAUUAUUUUUUAAAUAUCUUUAUGAAAAAAAUAUUCAAAAUAUGUGUAUUUCUUUAUGAAAUUAGUUUGUAACGAUUAAUAGUAUGACAAACCAAACACAAUUGUACAUAAAAAGUAAAUGAAGUUUAUUUUGAGUGACUUUGUUAAAUUUGGAUGAUAUAUAUACAAUCAAACUUCAUUCAUCAUGUUUGUAAAUUUUAAGCAUUAUUAUGAAAGAUUAAAACCCCCAUUUUAUGGACAAAAGUUUUAACAUCGCCCAUCUCGAACACAAAUCUAUCAACACUUAAUUCAUUAAAUUAACACUUCAUUAGAUACAAAAGAUGCCAAAACAAAAGAGUUGCAAUAAUAUAAUAAGCAUUUUGCAUAGAGAGAGAUCUAAAAUUAAAACCUUGACCUAAUUUAAAAUUUAGGAAUUUAGGUUUUAAUCUUUUUAUUAACGAUGAUGAAUAAUGUUCACUUGGACUUGAAAGGAAUGGCUCUAAUCACGACUUGAUGAUAUAAAGCUGCCAAUGCUGCUCCGAUGAACGGUCCAACCCAGAAUAUCCACUGCCAAACACAUUAUAUAUAUAUAAUUAAUUCACUAUUUCAUAUUCAUUUUUAAUUCCCUCAGGAUUCAAAUCAAUUAACAAACUCACAUGAUCAUCCCACGCUUUGUCCUUGUUGAAGAUGAUGGCCGCUCCCAAACUCCGAGCCGGGUUGAUGCCGGUGCCCGUGAUCGGGAUUGUUGCCAAGUGGACUAAGAACACUGCAAACCCAAUUGGUAGCGGCGCCAAUAUCUGUUCCAAUAACAUUUUUUUUUUACUUCUCAUAAACAAUCUAUAACUCUAUAUAUAUAGUUUGUUAUAUUAGAAACAACGUCUUAAUUUUACUCACCGGAACAUGUGAGUCUCUGGCGCUACGUUUAGCAUCAGUGGCGGAGAAGACGGUGUAAACAAGGAUGAAAGUACCCACGAUCUCAGCGCCAAGGCCAUCCCCUUUGGUGUAACCGUCGCUCACAACGUUAGCUCCACCCCCGAGCCUUUCAUAGGGCUUGGGUUGGAACCCCUUCACCACUCCCGCGCCGCAG
rnacentral:lncRNA from 1 species